rnacentral:rRNA from 1 species
CAAUAGCGUAUAUUAAAGUUGUUGCAGUUAAAAAAGCUCGUAGUUGAACCUUGGGUCUGGCUGGCCGGUCCGCCUCACCGCGAGUACUGGUCCGGCUGGACCUUUCCUUCUGGGAAGCUCAUGCCUUGCACUGGCUGUGGGGAGGACCAGGACUUUUACUGUGAAAAAAUUAGAGUGUUCAAAGCAGGCCUUUGCUCGAAUACAUUAGCAUGGAAUAAUAGAAUAGGACGUGUGGUUCUAUUUUGUUGGUUUCUAGGACCGCCGUAAUGAUUAAUAGGGAUAGUCGGGGGGCGUCAGUAUUCAGCUGUCAGAGGUGAAAUUCUUGGAUUUGUUAAAGACGGACUACUGCGAAAAGCAUUCGCCAAGGAUGUUUUCAUUAAUC